rnacentral:rRNA from 2 species
AGACCCGAAACCCGGUGAUCUAGCCAUGGGCAGGUUGAAGGUUGGGUAACACUAACUGGAGGACCGAACCGACUAAUGUUGAAAAAUUAGCGGAUGACCUGUGGCUGGGGGUGAAAGGCCAAUCAAACCGGGAGAUAGCUGGUUCUCCCCGAAAGCUAUUUAGGUAGCGCCUCGUGAAUUCAUCUCCGGGGGUAGAGCACUGUUUCGGCUAGGGGGCCAUCCCGGCUUACCAACCCGAUGCAAACUGCGAAUACCGGAGAAUGUUAUCACGGGAGACACACGGCGGGUGCUAACGUCCGUCGUGAAGAGGGAAACAACCCAGACCGCCAGCUAAGGUCCCAAAGUCAUGGUUAAGUGGGAAACGAUGUGGGAAGGCCCAGACAGCCAGGAUGUUGGCUUAGAAGCAGCCAUCAUUUAAAGAAAGCGUAAUAGCUCACUGGUCGAGUCGGCCUGCGCGGAAGAUGUAACGGGGCUAAACCAUGCACCGAAGCUGCGGCAGCGAACGUAUCACCCAAGACAACUUUACGGAGUUGACGAUUGACGGAGCGAAGCGACGUCAAAGCGUUCAUUAAAGUCGAGUUGGCUUAGGGAUACGUUCGUUGGGUAGGGGAGCGUUCUGUAAGCCUGUGAAGGUGU